UACGUAGGCGGCCAUAUAAGUCAGAAGUGAAAGGCUACGGCUUAACCGUAGUAAGCUUUUGAAACUGUAUGGCUUGAGUGCAGGAGAGGAAAGCGGAAUUCCUAGUGUAGCGGUGAAAUGCGUAGAUAUUAGGAAGAACACCAGUAGCGAAGGCGGCUUUCUGGACUGAAACUGACGCAGAGGUACGAAAGCGUGGGGAGCGAACAGGAUUAGAUACCCUGGUAGUCC
rnacentral:rRNA from 1 species